UACGAAGGGGGCUAGCGUUGCUCGGAAUCACUGGGCGUAAAGGGUGCGUAGGCGGGUCUUUAAGUCAGGGGUGAAAUCCUAGAGCUCAACUCCAGAACUGCCUUUGAUACUGAGGAUCUUGAGUUCGGGAGAGGUGAGUGGAACUGCGAGUGUAGAGGUGAAAUUCGUAGAUAUUCGCAAGAACACCAGUGGCGAAGGCGGCUCACUGGCCCGGUACUGACGCUGAGGUGCGAAAGCGUGGGGAGCAAACAGG
rnacentral:rRNA from 1 species